AAUAUUGCACAAUGGGCGGAAGCCUGAUGCAGCGACGCCGCGUGGGGGAUGACGGCCUUCGGGUUGUAAACCUCUUUCUUCAGGGAGGAAGGGAAGAUGCCGGUAUCUGUAUAAGAAGCUCCGUCUACCUUCCUUCCUGAAGCCGCGGUAAUACGUAGGGUGCGAGAGUUGUCCGGAAUUACUGGGCGUAAAGAGUUCGUAGGUGGUUUGUCACGACGUCUGGGAAAUUCCGGGGCUUAACCUCGGGAGUGCGGGCGAUACGGGCAAUACUUGAGUGCUGUAGGGGAGACUGGAAUUCCUGGUGUAGCGGUGAAAUGCGAAGAUAUCAGGAGGAACACCAAUGGCGAAGGCAGGUCUCUGGGCAGUUACUGACGCUGAGGAGCGAAAGCAUGGGUAGCGAACAGG
rnacentral:rRNA from 1 species